UACAAGGAAUUGACGGGACCCGCACAAGCGGUGAUGAUGUGGAUUAAUUCGAUGCAACGCGAAAACCUUACCUACCCUUGACAUGUCCGGAAUCCCGAAGAGAUUUGGAGUGUUCGCAAGAGAGCCGGAACACGGGUGCUACAUGGCUGUCGUCAGCUCGUGUCGUGAGAUGUUGGGUUAAGUCCCGCAACGAGCGCAACCCUUGUCAUUAGUUGCUACAUUCAGUUGGGCACUCUAAUGAGACUGCCGGUGACAAGCCGGAGGAAGGUGGGGAUGACGUCAAGUCCUCAUGGCCCUUAUAGGUGGGGCUACACACGUCAUACAAUGGCUGGUACAAAGGGUUGCCAACCCGCGAGGGGGAGCCAAUCCCAUAAAGCCAGUCGUAGUCCGGAUCGUAGUCUGCAACUCGACUACGUGAAGUUGGAAUCGCUAGUAAUCGCGGAUCAGCACGCCCGCGGUCGAAUACGUUCCGGGCCUU
rnacentral:rRNA from 1 species